rnacentral:rRNA from 1 species
UGAGGAAUAUUGGUCAAUGGGCGAGAGCCUGAACCAGCCAAGUAGCGUGAAGGAUGACUGCCCUAUGGGUUGUAAACUUCUUUUAUAAAGGAAUAAAGUCGGGUAUGCAUACCCGUUUGCAUUGUACUUUAUGAAUAAGGAUCGGCUAACUCCGUGCC